rnacentral:misc_RNA from 1 species
GAAAUGCGAUAAGUAAUGUGAAUUGCAGAAUUCAGUGAAUCAUCGAAUCUUUGAACGCACCUUGCGCUCCUUGGUAUUCCUUGGAGCAUGCCUGUUUGAGUAUCAUGAAAUCUUCAAAGUAAAUCUUUUGUUAACUCAAUUGGUUUCUACUUUGGUAUUGGAGGUCUUUGCAGCUUCACACCUGCUCCCCUUUGUUCAUUAGCUGGAUCUCAGUGUUAUGCUUGGUUCCACUCGGCGUGAUAAGUUAUCUAUCGCUGAGGACACUGUAAAAGGUGGCCAAGGUAAAUGCAGAUGAACCGCUUCUAAUAGUCCAUUGACUUGGACAAUACUUUUAUGAUCUGAUCUCAAAUCAGGUAGGACUACCCGCUGAACUUAAGC